CUUUGCGAAAGCGGAGCUAAUACUGGAUGGUCUGCACAUGUUAAUAUGUGUGUAGUAAAGGAUGGCCUCUGAGAUAAGCCAUUGCCUUGAGAUGAGUCCGCGUUCCAUUAGCUAGUUGGUGGGGUAAAGGCCUACCAAGGCAACGAUGGAUAGCUGGUCUGAGAGGAUGAUCAGCCACACUGGAACUGAGACACGGUCCAGACUCCUACGGGAGGCAGCAGUGGGGAAUAUUGGGCAAUGGGGGCAACCCUGACCCAGCAACGCCGUGUGAGGGAAGAAGGUUUUCGGAUCGUAAACCUCUGUCAGGAGGGAAGAAGUGCAUGCCAAGUAAUAUGUGGUAUGUUUGACGGUACCUCCAAAGGAAGCACCGGCUAACUCCGUGCCAGCAGCCGCGGUAAUACGGAGGGUGCGAGCGUUAUUCGGAAUUACUGGGCGUAAAGCGCGCGUAGGCGGCGCGGCAAGUCAGAUGUGAAAGCCCCGGGCUCAACCUGGGAAUUGCAUUUGAAACUGCCGUGCUUGAGUAAGGUAGAGGGUGGCGGAAUUCCCGGUGUAGGAGUGAAAUCCGUAGAUAUCGGGAGGAACACCAGUGGCGAAGGGCGGCCACCUGGGCCUUCACUGACGCUGAGGUGCGAAAGCGUGGGGUAGCAAACAGGAUUAGAUACCCUGGUAGUCCACGCUGUAAACGAUGGAUACUAGGUGCUGGGAGAGAAUUUCGGUGCCGUAGCUAACGCGUU
rnacentral:rRNA from 1 species